rnacentral:rRNA from 2 species
CACGUAGGAGCCUAGCGUUAUCCGAAUUUACUGGGCGUAAAGCGCGUGUAGGCGGUUCAAUAAGUUGGAUGUGAAAGCUCCUGGCUCAACUGGGAGAGGUCGUUCAAUACUGUUGGACUUGAGGAUGGUAGAGGGAGGUGGAAUUCCCGGUGUAGUGGUGAAAUGCGUAGAUAUCGGGAGGAACACCAGUGGCGAAAGCGGCCUCCUGGACCAUUCCUGACGCUCAGACGCGAAAGCUAGGGGAGCGAACGGG